GGCUGGCGGCAGGCUUACACAUCGCAGUCGAAGCGAGAACGGGUCUUAGCUUGCUAAGACUGUCAGCUAAGUGGCGGACGGGUGAGUAAUGUAUAGUUAAUCUGCCCUUCAGAGAGGGAUAACUACUGGAAACGGUAGCUAAUACCUCAUACACCUUAUAUAUUAAUUAUAUAAGGGAAAUGUUUUUUCGCUGAAGGAUGAGACUAUAUGGUAUCAGGUAGUUGGUGGGGUAAUAGCCUACCAAGCCGAUGACGCCUAGCUGGUCUGAGAGGAUGAUCAGCCACACUGGAACUGAGACACGGUCCAGACUCCUACGGGAGGCAGCAGUGGGGAAUAUUGCGCAAUGAGCGAAAGCUUGACGCAGCGACACCGCGUGUGGGAUGACGGAUCUAGGUUUGUAAACCACUUUCAGGAGGGAAGAAAAUGACGGUACCUCCACAAGAAGCCCCGGCCAACUACGUGCCAGCAGCCGCGGUAAUACGUAGGGGGCGAGCGUUGUCCGGAUUUAUUGGGCGUAAAGAGCUCGUAG
rnacentral:rRNA from 1 species